GAGCACGUAGGUGGGUUUGUAAGUCAGAUGUGAAAGCCUUCUGUUCAACGGAAGAAUUGCAUCUGAAACUACAAACCUUGAGUAUAGGAGGGGAGAGUGGAACUUCUGGUGGAGCGGUGAAAUGCGUAGAUAUCAGAAGGAACGCCGGCGGCGAAAGCGACUCUCUGGCCUAUUACUGACACUGAGUGUGCGAAAGCUAGGGGAGCAAACGGGAUUAGAUACCCCGGUAGUCCUAGCCGUAAACGAUGGGCACUAAGUAGAGGGGUUUU
rnacentral:rRNA from 1 species